rnacentral:rRNA from 1 species
AGUGCCUACGGGGGGCAGCAGUGAGGAAUAUUGGUCAAUGGUCGGGAGACUGAACCAGCCAAGCCGCGUGAGGGAUGAAGGUACAGAGUAUCGUAAACCUCUUUUGUCAGGGAACAAAGGCGGGGACGCGUCCCCGGAUGAGUGUACCUGAAGAAAAAGCAUCGGCUAACUCCGUGCCAGGAGCCGCGGUAAUACGGAGGAUGCGGGCGUUAUCCGGAUUUAUUGGGUUUAAAGGGGGCGCAGGCGGUCUGGUA